GGUUCGAUGGCGUAGUUGGUUAUCGCAUCUGUCUAACAUUCUAAAUCAUGUUGCUACACAGAAGGUCCUCAGUUCGAGCCUGGGUCGAAUCA